GAAUCCCUGGCCUCAAUUUAGGAGGCUUGUGACAGGGUGCUAAGCAGAAAACUGCUUAGCUAACCCUCUGUCACUCCAGCUCCAAUUUAGGGAGCUGAAUUGGAGCUGGGUAGAUCGCCUGGUCCUGACUGGGGAAGCUGGAACAGCUGCUGCCUCCUCAGGCUGGGGCUGGAUAAGAGCCCCAGAGAAAGGAAGCCAUGGAGGAGCUGUAAAGAGGGAAGCUGUAGUAUAGGCCAAGCAGAGAGAGAUAGCUUGCCUUCUCUCUCCUGCUGGUGGGCUAUGUAUAUAGUGGAAAAGUGGUGGGAGCAUGGCCUGUAAAUAAAAGCACCAGAAAAGAGAAGUUAGUUGUGAUGUGCUGGAACUGUUGUAGCUGCUGCUGUUCAAGUCUGAUCCCAUUUCAUCUCAGGCAGUGUCUGUGAUUCAACUGGAGCUGGAAUGGAAUGAGGUCAUCAGUUCCUUUUACGCUGGCCACUGAACAGGUGACUAUCUGAAGAUGUUUGACAUGGUUGGGGUUUCAUCUCUGAAGUCUGAAGAAUGUAUGACAAAUAUUGUACUUUGAAGGUUCAUUCAGUGACCUGAUCAGUAAGGUGGAAGGAGCACUGUCAGGAAGAUGUCUGUGGUGUAUCACUCACGUCUAUUAGGAGAGCGAAUCCAUCCCUCAUUAUCCUUGGGAUACUGACACAUCUGAUGAAUCAGAUUUGACAUCAGGAAGACUGGUUUCUUUCUUCUGUCUUAACUUUAAUCACUGAUUUGUAUGAAGCAAUGGCACUUUUUAUUGAAAAUAACUGGAAACCACAGCUAGCUAAUUCUAUUGUUAUUUGUGAUGAAAGAUGAUUUUCUUUAGCUCUGUGCAGACAAUGAAGUGUUUCUGUUCAGCUACUGGUGUUUCAGUUUUACUCGGCACCUCUUAUUAUGCCAGGGCUUAGUCAGAGUCAGCAUUACUACAUACGCCAAUUUACAUCUAUUUGCUGUUAUCUAUUGCUCCAAAUUACCCAUUUUUGUGAAUAUCUAACUGAUGAGACAAACCGGUGACAAUAUUUAGAUAAGAAAUAUUUCUAGAAAAUAAUGAUCAGAACUGUCUUUCAUAUACCACUGCUCGUAUUGCUUGGAGAGUCAUUUAGCAUUUCAUAAAUAAACAUAAGCGGUUUAUACAUCCUUCAAAUGAACAUCUUUAAAAUGGAUGAUCGCAUGGCGGACAGGUGUGCAUCUUUUAUGCUAGAAACCUCAUUGUACUUAGAAAUCCCUUGGUCUGGCAUAUGACUGACAGGGAAGGAUUUUAUUAUGGUAAAGGCACUAGACUAGGAUGCAGGAAAUAUAGGUUCAAUUCCUUAUUCUGCCAGACACCUCCUAUGUGACCUUGGGUGAAAAUCUCUCUGUGCCUCACUCACCAAUCUGUAAAAUGGGGUGAUGAUGCUUGGUUUCUCCUACUUUUGUCUGUUUUGCCUAUUUAGGUGGCAAGCCCUUCUGAGCAGGGUCUCUCUCGCUGACUGUGU